UUUUCGGGCACGAUCCAGUUCAGUAUUUGUCGCUUAAACUAUGGAUCGAAUAUACUGUUCGAUCCGAUUCUUAAAACCACAAACAUAAAUAAAAAAAAUCUUUUUCUCAUUUCCUUCAUAUUGGGCCGUGAUGGGCCCAUGUCCAUCCUAAAACACAGCCUAGUAACUCCUGUCUUCUUCACCAACAGACGUGCAGCUUUUCAGACCCAGGUAAACGCUUCGGUUCCCCGAAGGGCUAUAACUGUUUUUUCAAGCUUUUCUUACUAUUGAUUUUGGCAUCGAAGAUUCCCUUGCUUUUUCAUCUUCCUCGUUGCGCUGGUGAUACAUAAAUUCUGUACUACCUCUCUCAGUCACCAGACUGAUUUUCCUCCCUGCUCCAGGCUCCAGAGGAUAAUAAUUUCACAGCCCUUGGUUUUAUGGUGCACAAAUGAAUUUUGUGGAUGAGGAUGCUUCUGGCUCUGGAGACGAUGCAAACAUGCAAGAUGGAAACAAGAAUCAUUCUGGGAUACCAUCAAGUUCAGGUCGUCGAAAGAGAAGUCGCAAGGCUACCGGUGAUGCUAUAGUGGAUGCUAUGCUCGAAAUAGCUGCUGCUUCAAAAAUGAGGGCAGCAGCAAUAUUGAAGAGCGAGGAACGGUUUUCUAUAAGCAAAUGCAUAAAGGUAUUGGAUGACAUGUCAGGCAUCGAUCAGCAGAUCUACUUUUGUGCAUUGGAUUUAUUCGAGAACUCCAAUGCGAGAGAAACUUUCAUAUCUCUUAGAAGUGAGAAACGACUACCGUGGUUGCAACGCAAGUUUAGUGCUUCCUCUAAUUGAAUAGAUGAGCAGUAUUAUCGAAUUCCUUCUUUUUAUUUUAUGUGUAGUUGAAGUGUCAAAGAUUCUUAUGGGUUGUAUUGAGUUCACUCCGAACCGUUGAUAUUGUAACUAGUAUGACAUUCUAUUUUACGGCUGUGUCAUUUUUUGGAUUGACAUUAGAGGGUAUUUAGUGGAUUUCUAUUUUAUA